AUGUCAUCCCGUGAGGUGACGAAGACGCAGAAAUAUAUGAAAUUCUUUAAUGAGAUACCCCUCUCUUUAAAGAAGUCUUACUCUGAGAGCCUGUUGCUGUA
rnacentral:sRNA from 15 species